rnacentral:rRNA from 1 species
UGCUGGAGGUAUCAGAAGUGCGAAUGCUGACAUAAGUAACGAUAAAGCGGGUGAAAAGCCCGCUCGCCGGAAGACCAAGGGUUCCUGUCCAACGUUAAUCGGGGCAGGGUGAGUCGACCCCUAAGGCGAGGCCGAAAGGCGUAGUCGAUGGGAAACGGGUUAAUAUUCCCGUACUUGGUGUUACUGCGAAGGGGGGACGGAGAAGGCUAUGUUGGCCGGGCGACGGUUGUCCCGGUUUAAGCGUGUAGGUGUGUGUUCCAGGUAAAUCCGGUUCACUUUAACACUGAGGCGUGACGACGAGGCACUACGGUGCUGAAGCAACAAAUGCCCUGCUUCCAGGAAAAGCCUCUAAGCAUCAGGUAACAUCAAAUCGUACCCCAAACCGACACAGGUGGUCAGGUAGAGAAUACCAAGGCGCUUGAGAGAACUCGGGUGAAGGAACUAGGCAAAAUGGUGCCGUAACUUCGGGAGAAGGCACGCUGAUAUGUAGGUGAAGCGGUUUACCCGUGGAGCUGAAAUCAGUCGAAGAUACCAGCUGGCUGCAACUGUUUAUUAAAAACACAGCACUGUGCAAACACGAAAGUGGACGUAUACGGUGUGACGCCUGCCCGGUGCCGGAAGGUUAAUUGAUGGGGUCAGCGCAAGCGAAGCUCCUGAUCGAAGCCCCGGUAAACGGCGGCCGUAACUAUAACGGUCCUAAGGUAGCGAAAUUCCUUGUCGGGUAAGUUCCGACCUGCACGAAUGGCGUAAUGAUGGCCAGGCUGUCUCCACCCGAGACUCAGUGAAAUUGAACUCGCUGUGAAGAUGCAGUGUACCCGCGGCAAGACGGAAAGACCCCGUGAACCUUUACUAUAGCUUGACACUGAACAUUGAGCCUUGAUGUGUAGGAUAGGUGGGAGGCUUUGAAGCGUGGACGCCAGUCUGCGUGGAGCCGACCUUGAAAUACCACCCUUUAAUGUUUGAUGUUCUAACGUGGACCCGUAAUCCGGGUUGCGGACAGUGUCUGGUGGGUAGUUUGACUGGGGCGGUCUCCUCCUAAAGAGUAACGGAGGAGCACGAAGGUUGGCUAAUCCUGGUCGGACAUCAGGAGGUUAGUGCAAUGGCAUAAGCCAGCUUGACUGCGAGCGUGACGGCGCGAGCAGGUGCGAAAGCAGGUCAUAGUGAUCCGGUGGUUCUGAAUGGAAGGGCCAUCGCUCAACGGAUAAAAGGUACUCCGGGGAUAACAGGCUGAUACCGCCCAAGAGUUCAUAUCGACGGCGGUGUUUGGCACCUCGAUGUCGGCUCAUCACAUCCUGGGGCUGAAGUAGGUCCCAAGGGUAUGGCUGUUCGCCAUUUAAAGUGGUACGCGAGCUGGGUUUAGAACGUCGUGAGACAGUUCGGUCCCUAUCUGCCGUGGGCGCUGGAGAACUGAGGGGGGCUGCUCCUAGUACGAGAGGACCGGAGUGGACGCAUCACUGGUGUUCGGGUUGUCAUGCCAAUGGCACUGCCCGGUAGCUAAAUGCGGAAGAGAUAAGUGCUGAAAGCAUCUAAGCACGAAACUUGCCCCGAGAUGAGUUCUCCCUGAGACUUAAAGUCUCCUGAAGGAACGUUGAAGACGACGACGUUGAUAGGCCGGGUGUGUAAGCGCAGCGAUGCGUUGAGCUAACCGGUACUAAUGAACCGUGAGGCUUAACCUUACAACGCCGAAG